CUCCCAGCGUUUUCAGCUGCCUUGGGAGGAGAGUGGGCUCUGUUUUGUAAGGGAGUUUGCUGUUGGCCUGCGAAGACCCUUUAUGGGACAUGGAUCAAAAGUGCUGUUCCUCGAGAUACUUACCUCCAGUAUAGGAUCCUGGUGUCAAAAGGAAUCAGAUACGGCUCCAUUGUACAUGGCAUGACUUGUAUAGCCAGACAGAGCAGGUGUGGAAACUUCUGGAUGCCUGCUCUUGUGAGUUCACCUCUAUGUCUACUCUACUGAGGCCUCUCCAUACAGAGAUGGACUUUCACCAUGUUGGCCAGGUUAGUCC
rnacentral:lncRNA from 1 species